CCUGCAAUGUGCAUAACAAAAAAUGUUUUCAUAUCAUGGAAUAAUAAAUUCUUAAAAGUAUACUAUAUUAAUUAGUCCAUAUUGAAAACUUACCACUGCAAAAAGAGUGAAUGCGCCACAAAGUCCAGCAGCCCAGAAUACAAAAGAGUGGAUCUGUUUUUCUUCUUCAGGAUCUGGAAAAUAGCUCCUCGUUGUCACAUUUGAUGAAAUUUGGCCAUAUUGUAUGAUUGAGGAGAAUUUUACAAGGGCCAGAGACCACUUUGCACAUUUCUUGAGAAGGCAAAUCUACGGUAUCAUUGACACACUUUGGUAGAAACAAAGAACACAAAAAUGGCUGCACAACAGCCCAGCAUUUAGGGAUAUGCUCCAAGCCUCUUAAAAUGUGCAACUUUUCCUGUAAAUUAAAAAAUACAAAAAUUUUAAUAUUAUCUGUAUUGGGUUUGCAAUGCCAUCAAUAAAUUCAAGGCAAAGAA